AUGGAAACAAAAGUGUUCAUCUGUGUUCUGUGUGCCUGUUUGGUAACACUCUUAGUGCAUAAGACAUCAUCAGAAUCAGUAAAUCCCGACAUAUUUCUAUCAUACAAACCCUCUGAGCAAGGUCCUGUUAAUGGAAGUAAUUACGAGCAGAUGACUAACCUUACCCUAAAUACAAAUACAACCCAAGAAAGUAUUUUGGAAAAGACCAUGUUUAAAUUGUGCAGAUUCCUUACAACUGCAGACCAUUAGAAUGUGUUUAAAAGCAGGGGUCUCCAACCCUGCUCCUGGAGAGCUACUGUCCUGCAAAUUUCAGCUCCAACCCCAAUCAAACACACCUGAACCAGCUAAUCAAGGUAGUUCAGGGCUACUUGAUAAUUACAGACAGGUGUGUUGGAGCAGGGUUGGAACUGAAGUCUGCAGGAUGGUAGCUCUCCAGGGAGCAGGGUUGGAGAUCCCUGACUUGAAGCCAAGUUGCCACA
rnacentral:lncRNA from 1 species